UGGUAUCUAAUUUUCUUGAAGAGAUCUCUAGUCUUUCCCAUUCUGUUGUUUUCCUCUAUUUCUUUGCAUUGAUCACUGAAGAAGGCUUUCUUAUCUCUUCUUGCUAUUCUUUGGAACUCAGCAUUCAGAUGCUUGUAUCUGUCCUUUUCUCCUUUGCUUUUCACUUCUCUUCUUUUCACAGCUCUUUGUAAGGCCUCCCCAGACAGCCAUUUUGCUUUUUUGCAUUUCUUUUCCAUGGGGAUGGUCUUGAUCCCUGUCUCCUGUACAAUGUCACGAACCUCAGUCCAUAGUUCAUCAGGCACUCUAUCUAUCAGAUCUAGUCCCUUAAAUCUAUUUCUCACUUCCACUGUAUAAUCAUAAGGGAUUUGAUUUAGGUCAUACCUGAAUGGUCUAGUGGUUUUCCCUACUUUCUUCAAUUUAAGUCUGAAUUUGGCAAUAAGGAGUUCAUGAUCUGAGCCACAGUCAGCUCCUGGUCUUGUUUUUGUUGACUGUAUAGAGCUUCUCCAUCUUUGGCUGCAAAGAAUAUAAUCAAUCUGAUUUCAGUGUUGACCAUCACAAAGUUCAGAAGACACCAAGCUGAAAAUCCAAUGGAAAAACUAAUUCAGAGCCCAUAAACCCAGUAAGACUCCCCUGCAACCUCAGGGGAGCCCCAGAGGAGUUGACUGUUCAGGUUGGGGAAUGUAGGCAAAACUGCAAAACAGUGGGAAAUGGGUGUCAGCAUUCCCCAGAGCUGCUUGUCUAAAACAUUCCAUUUUCUUUAAAAAGCAACACAAAAGGAAGCCCCCCAUGGUCCAGAAGACUGCCCACAGACCCAGAUGAAAGUUUAUACACUCAAGAAGCUAAAAGUAAUGGAGACUGUUUAAUGGAGAUGGAACAGGAGACCCUGCUUUAUCCAAAUCACAGGAGCAAAGCCACAGUGAGGUGUCCUAUGACCCAGUGCUACAGACUGCAGCUUGUGGCCGGUGAGUUGGCAAGCCCCAGAGGGUCUCGGUUCGGCGGGAGCUAUGGAAUGGACCUAGUGCAUCGGCGGAGCAACCCGAGGUGGGCAGCCAGGUCGGGGCGGGGGGCAGCGCAUGCAGUGAACUGCCAUGCAGAGCUCCGGCAUCUCUGCCCACCCCAGGGAGGCGGGGACAGCACACCGUCGUGGACAGGAUGUGAGCGCCCCUGGACCCAGGCCCUCUCGGGGCUGGGCUCAGAGCAAAUCCAGUGCAUGCUUUCCUGGCCAAAGCAACGUGGAAAGCGGGGACAGCAGGCCUGGGAUGACGCUGAGGGGUGGGGAGGGAAAACUCCUCAAGGUCCCUUGGCCCUAAGUCACUGCCUCCGAGCGAGGCCUCGUGGCCUCUGUACAUUCUCAGCUGGUGGGAGAGGGGAAGUCAUCAAGGCCAUAAAGGCAAUGAGUCGGACGGUAAACAUUUGGCUAAGAUGUCGCCCCGGGUGA
rnacentral:lncRNA from 1 species